UCUUUCACCCAUUUCCAUUUUCUGUUGCUUUUUACAAAUGUUCUUCGCUUCUUUCAUAUAGAGUCAAGAGCUUUCCCUAACAUUUCAAGCUUUUUAUUUUUGAAGCAAAGAUGGCUGAAGCUUUCGUUAGUGCUGUUGUGGGAGAAGCGGUGUCAAAAGCGGCGUCAGUUGCGGUUGAGAUGAUAAGCCUUGGAUGGGGCUUCAAGGAUGAGAUUCAGAGGCUUGAAAACUCACUAGAAAUGGUAGGAGCUUUCUUGCAAGAUGCAGAGGGAAAGCAAAAGCAAAUGAAUUCAGUGAAGCUUUGGUUGGAGGGGCUCAGAGAUGUUGCUUAUGAGGCUGGUGAGGUCCUGGAUGAGAUUACUUAUGAGUUUCUCAGAAGGAAAGUGGAGGUUGGGGUUCAGAUGUGGAGAAAGCUACGAGACCUUCCAUCUACUGUCAUAUUUCGGCACAACAUGGCUAAUAGAGUUAAGGACAUCCUUAAUUCCUUGGACCACCUUAACAAAAAAGCCAAAGACUACGGUCUCCAACAAUUAGCCAUAGAUCAAAGAAUUUUUAUUCCAUCAAAUGUGGAGACAGUCUCCUUCCUGGAUGACUCAAACAUUGUUGGAAGGAAAAAUGAUGUCUCAAAAGUUGUUGACAUGUUAGUCAGUCCCCAAGAUGAUCGAACUGUCUCUGUUGUGCCUAUAGUUGGAAUGGCGGGUAUCGGGAAAACUACUUUAGCAAGGCUAGUCUACAAUGAUGUGGAUGUGGAAAGGCGUUUUGAUGUAAGAUUUUGGGUGUGUGUUUCGGCUGACUUCAAUGUCAAAAGAAUUUUAAGAGAAAUGCUGGAGCAUUUUAAGGGGACUUCGAUACCUCAAAACUUAAAUGCUUUAACGGCGAAACUGAAGGGGAAGAUUGAGCAGGCCAAAAGGGGAAAUGAACAGAUCAAAUAUCUUCUUGUACUUGAUGAUGUGUGGAAUGUUGAACAAUGGGAUGAACUAAUGUGGUGUUUGGAAGGGGUUAAUAAGAAUCGGGGGAAUAAAGUUAUUGUAACAACCCGCAUUGAAGAUGUGGCAUUAAAAGUGGAAACACUUCCUAAUCAAAGGCAUCAGCCUGGAAAAUUAAAAGAUGAGGAGUGCUGGUCCAUAAUUCAAGAAAAAGCACGUGGAGACUCCCCAAUAUCUCCCAGCUUAGUGUUAAUUGGCGAGGACAUUGCUAAACAAUGUCACGGUGUGCCUUUAGCAGCAAAAGUUAUUGGAGGUACAAUGCGCAAAAUUGAAAAGAGUCGGGGUGCAUGGUUGAAAAUUCAAAAAAGUGAUGUAUGGGAUUCGGUUAAUAGUGUGCUAAGGUUAAGUUUCGAUCACUUGUCUUCUCCAUGUUUAAAGAAGUGUUUUGCAUACUGCGCCAUGUUUCCUAAAGAUUUUUGCUUUAGAAAGGAGCAAUUAAUCCAACUCUGGAUGGCUGAAGGAUUUCUUGGCGCUUCUAAAGAAAUGAUGGAUACUGGUAACAGAUAUUUCCAUGAAUUGUUAUCAAAUUCCUUAUUCCAAGAUGUGGGGAAGGACAGGUGCGGAAAUAUUUUGACUUGCAAGAUGCAUGACAUGGUGCAUGAUCUGGCUUUGUCUGUCUCAAAGUUUGAGACUUUGAUUUUCCAAGAAAAUUCCAGUUCCAGCACAGAUGAAGUUUCUCAUAUUCAGCAUCUCAGUAUUGGUUAUGAUGGGGAAUCCUUACCAAUAAUUUUAACAGCUGUUGCUCCAAAAUUGCACUCUUUGUUCUCAGAGAUUGAUGUGUUCAAGAAAUUGUCAAGAACCUUCACAAGCUUACGAGUCCUAAAAUUUUCCGGUGCUGAUUAUAUUCUUGAGUUGCCUGCUUCCCUCGGCGACUUGAAGCACUUGAGGUAUAUGGACAUCUCGAAGACUUCUAUCAAAGUGCUGCCUCGAUCCAUAACCAAACUUUACAUGUUACAAACAUUAAGGUUCAUGGGUUGUAGGGAAAUCGCAUUUCCAGAUGGAUUGAGAAAUUUGAUAAGCUUGAAGCACAUCCAUUAUGACCAGCAAAGGUCUCAACCAAUUGAGCUUCGACACCUAAUUUCUCUCCAAACAUUGCCAAUGUUUUUUGUUAGGGAUAUCGAAUUCCAUCUUGAUGCUCUAGAAUGCCUCAACGAACUUGGUGGAGAAUUGAGGAUAUGCAAUCUGCAGAGUGUUAGGGACAAGGAAGAGGCUCGCAAAGCAAAUCUACGGCUUAAAACAAAAUUGUGCAAGGUAAUAUUCGAAUGGUCAGAAUUUAGCAAUGACACCUGUGAGGAAGUGCUGGAAGGUCUCCAACCCCACUCAGGUUUGCAAAGCUUAAUUGUUUGGAAUUAUGGAGGGGAAAAGCUCCCAUCUUGGAUGUCAAGACCUGUUCAUGGUUCUAAUAUUGGUUCACUGCUUCUUGACAAUUUGAUGGAGUUGGAAUUAAACAGUUGCAUCAAUUGUAAAAGUCUUCCACCAUUGGGCCAACUGCAGAGUCUCAAGUUUCUUGCACUGAGGAAUAUGGGGAAGGUGAAACGCAUCGGUAAUGAGUUUUAUUGCGAUGGAAGUAGUCAAUGUGAGAUUGAGGUGUUUCCUGCAUUAAAAACAUUCAUCCUACGGCAAAUGAAAAAUUUGGAAGAAUGGACAGCAACGACAGCAGCAACCAUGUUCCCUUGCUUAGAAGAGUUGCUUGUUUCUGAUUGCCCCUUAUUAGAAAGUGUUCCCCUGACGGGAGGAUGUUUAUCUCUUAAAAAGCUCUGGGUUGAGGAUUGUUCAAAAUUAAGCCGUAUAGGGGAUGGACUAGCUACUUCCACGGUACUUGAGGAGCUAACUAUAGUAAAGUGUGGAGAUUUGUUCUCAAUUCCAAAUUUGAAUGGGUUUUCCGCUCUUCGAAGUGUCUAUGUUUCCGAUUGCGGACGCUUGGGAAGUGUUCCAAUAGCAGGAAUAUGUUCAUCUCUUGAAGAAUUUUGCAUUUCAGAGUGUAAGGAAUUAAGCGAGAUAGGAGGCGGGUUGUCUACCUCCACUUGUCUUAAAGAAUUAAAGCUAAGUGGCUGUGCUAAUUUAAGCUCCAUUCCAGAUUUGGAAGGAUUUUCCUUUCUUCGAAAUCUAGAUAUAUCAGAGUGCAGCAAACUGGAAAUUGUUCCAAUAAGAGGAAGAUGUUCAUCUCUUCAAAAGCUUCACAUUUCCUCGUGUCGAAAACUAAGCAAGAUUGGAGAUGGGUUGUCGACCUCCACUAAUCUUGAAGAAUUGAAGUUAAGUGAUUGUCCUAAUUUAAGUUCUAUUCCAGAUUUGGAAGGAUUUUCCUUUCUUCGAAAUCUAGAUAUAUCAGAGUGCAGCAAACUGGAAAUUGUUCCAAUAAGAGGAAGAUGUUCAUCUCUUGAAAAGCUUCACAUUUCCUCGUGUCAAAACUUAAGCAAGAUAGGAGACGGGUUGUCGACCUCCAGUUGUCUUAAAGAAUUAAAGCUAAGUGGCUGUGCUAAUUUAAGUUCCAUUCCAGAUUUGGAAGGAUUUUCCUUUCUUCGAAAUCUAGAUAUAUCAAAGUGCAGCAAACUGGAAAUUGUUCCAAUAAGGGGAAGAUGUUCAUCUCUUGAAAAGCUUCACAUUUCCUCGUGUCAAAACUUAAGCAAGAUAGGAGACGGGUUGUCGACCUCCACUUAUCUUAUAGAAUUAAAGCUAUGUGGCUGUGCUAAUUUAAGCUCCAUUCCAGAUUUGGAAGGAUUUUCCUUUCUUCGAAAUCUAGUUAUAUCAGGGUGCAGCAAACUGGAAAUUGUUCCAAUAAGAGGAAGAUGUUCAUCUCUUCAAAAGCUUCACAUUUCCUCGUGUCGAAAACUAAGCAAGAUUGGAGAUGGGUUGUCGACCUCCACUAAUCUUGAAGAAUUGAAGUUAAGUGAUUGUCCUAAUUUAAGUUCUAUUCCAGAUUUGGAAGGAUUUUCCUUUCUUCGAAAUCUAGAUAUAUCAGAGUGCAGCAAACUGGAAAUUGUUCCAAUAAGAGGAAGUUGUUCAUCUCUUGAAAAGCUUCACAUUUCCUCGUGUCAAAACUUAAGCAAGAUAGGAGACGGGUUGUCGACCUCCAGUUGUCUUAAAGAAUUAAAGCUAAGUGGCUGUGCUAAUUUAAGUUCCAUUCCAGAUUUGGAAGGAUUUUCCUUUCUUCGAAAUCUAGAUAUAUCAGAGUGCAGCAAACUGGAAAUUGUUCCGAGAGUAGGGCAGUGCUCGUCUCCUAAACUGUGUCACGUUCUUACACGUGGAAUAAUGACACCGUGUCUCGUCCCUAUGCCCAGGAAAUUGAGGAUAGUGAACUGCCCGAAUUUGAGGUCCAUUCCAAGUCUAUGUCACUAUUGUCUCACUGAAUUAGACUUCACUGGUUUAGGCAAAAGCUUAACUUGUCUGUUAGAUUUGCUGCAAUCCUACACUCUCGUUCACAAUCUGACACUAUCUGAUUUGCCUGAUCUAAGAUCGAUUCCAGAAAGUUUGGGGAAAUUGCGUUUUCUCCGUCAUUUAACAAUCAAACAGUGCCCAACAUUGAGGAGCAUUCCAAAUGACUGCCUUGGCAGCCUUACUUGCUUGAGAAGUUUAGAUAUUGGUGGUUUCUCAGAAGAGCUAGAAGAAUUCCCAGGUUUUGAUUCCAUCCGACGCCUCAGUGCCUCCCUUACAGAGUUGCGAUUGCGUGGAUGGGCAAAGCUAAGUUCUCUUCCUUACCAACUCCAACACCUCACUGCCCUUGAACAGCUGGAAAUACUGACAUUUCACGGCAUAGAAGCCUUGCCUGAUUGGUUGGAAAACCUGUCCUCUAUAAAGCGGCUGGGAAUCGAUUCAUGUGAUAAGCUCGUGUAUCUGCCUUCUGAACUUGUUAGGCGAGGCCUCUCCAAAGUUAUAGCAUUUCAAAUUUCAGCGUGUCCUCUAUUAGACAGAAGAAGGUCCAAGGAAUGCAGCUCCGAGUAGUUCAAUAUUUCCGUCAUUCGUAGAACCCCAAUUAAGAGAAAGCGAACUUUACAGGAUUUGGAUGGAUAUGAAUGAUUCAUUGACUUAUCGUCUCAGAAGUAAAUAUAUAGAUAGAAAAGAUUCACUAAUUAGCUUGUACAGCUCAAAGACUCAUCAGUCAUAAAGAGAACGUAGAAACUAAAUUUAUCCAUCGAAAACCCAUUCUUAGUUUGCUUCCAAUGGAAGUGAUGGUACUACCAUCCUUGUUUCAUUUUUACCCAAAUCAGCAGUUCUUGACAACAUAUCACGUACUUGUUCAUUGCAACCAGCCUAUCUUGCCGCUUUACCUCCGUUCUCUCUGUUUUCUAGAAGGCAUGAACUAUUAUAGUAGGUCAACUAAACAAAGAAUACUGCUUAUGAAAUUUUUUCAAAACUCAACUCACUAGCAUCAAGGAUUAUGAAUAAGGGUUCUCAUGAGAUCCAACUGGAAUUUAGCCUUGUUCCUGAUGGAAGCACUUAGGAUAGCCACCCGUUAUGGCAAAGUGUCUCCCUGCAGAGAAGUGGUGUUACUUAAGAUCAUAGAGGAAGUCUCUUGCAAGAAUCUUCAAUAUGAGAGAUCCAGGCAUGCUUCAGAUAGAUGAGCUAGUGAGCUAAAUGGCCUCAGCCAAGACCAGAGUGGCCCAGCACCGUACAUGGGGUAUUGGAAAAGGUCAUAUGGUAAUGGUGUGACUACUUGAUGCUAUUGAGCUGUGUUUGAUUGCAGUCACAGAAAAGGUCCAAGUCAGCUGUGACUACUUGUACAGAUUUAGUUUUGUUGUACAUAAAAUGUUUCUGACAGAUUAGCCGGGAAAAAGCUGCAUUUUUCCAAAAGGCAUAGACUAUUAUAUCAUGCAAGUCACCUAAGUAUUUCUCCUACUUGUCAGAAGCCUCAAGGAUUGUGAAUAAGGUUUCUCGUGAUAUCCGACCGGAAUUUAGUUCUGUUCCCGAAAGCCAUUCUGGUUCUGCUCCUGAAGGAAGCACUUGCGAUUGCCACCCCGUUAUGGAACUAACCUUGGCUACCCAAAUCAGCUGUCCUUGACAACAUAUUGCGAAGUGUCUCCCUGUAGAGAAGUGGUGUUACUUAAGGCAAAUAGAGGAAGUCUCCUGCAAGACUCUUUGAUAUGAGAGAUCCGGACAUGCUUCACAUAGUAAGCUAGAAGGCCUUAGCCAUGACCGGAGAGGACCAGCACCAAAUAUGAAUGGAAAAGCUAUUCACAAAGGAAAAGGAGCUAGCAUCUGUGUAUCGAGCUAAGUUGAAGAUUUAAGCUUUCAGGUCAUAAUCCAAAAUCAUCAGAAAAAAAAGUUGGCUACCCUGUAUUUAUAUCAAGCAAAGAGAGCUUGUUAGUGCCGAUUAUAAUUGUCAGCUUCAAUGGUGGUACAUCAGUGCAGACUUUACAUGCGAGAAUCAAGCCAAGUAAAGAUUGUUUCAAUACAAUCAAAGUUCUCUUAAAUAGAAGAUUUGAUCUUCAAGGAAUUUGAUACAGUAAGAUGUUUUUAGUGAGAUUAGCGAAUGUCAUUGAUUGUACUUGAACGCCCCUUUUAUGUAUAUAUAGUGAACGACUAGUGUAGGUUAAUUGUAGAAAUUGGAGAGCAUUUUAUUUGUUAAAUCAGGAACUACUUUUUUUAGUGCAAAAUUGUGAGUAAACUGAAUAUUGUUCAUCAGCUUGGAUCUAAGCUUGCAAGGGGAAAAGAUUUAGAGGGAGAGUUAUUUAGUUAGAAGUAUAGGACUGAAGCUAUAACUUGCUGAGUGAGUUGAGUUAAAUCAUAACUUGUAACUGUUGUUAUAGUGGAUUAACCUCUGAGCAAGGCUCCUCAGACGUAGGAAAUUUCCAAACUGCGUAAACAAUUCUCAUAUCCAUCUCUAUUGUUCUUCUAGUA